rnacentral:lncRNA from 1 species
AUUAAUGACCCGGAGCCACAUGACGGAGCAUGACACAGCACUUUUGGGCACAAGGCAGGGCCCAGAGGGGUGCGUGGGGGCCGCAGCCCAGCCCCCAAGCCCCGCCAGCGGCUUUACUGGGGUGUAACAAACACACGAUAAACUGCGCAUAUUCCAGUGUUCAUGUGGAUGAGUUUGGACAUAUGCACACACUUCCGAAACCACCAGCACAAUCAAGACAGCAGACAUAUCCAUCGCCCCCAAGGGUGUCCUUGUGUCUUUUUGUCAUUCAUCCCUCCCGGCCGCCCCAUCCACACUCCCAUCGCCUGCCGACUGUGGCUGAUCUGCUUUCUGCGGCUGUGGAUUAGUUUGCGUUCUCUACAAUUUUCUGAAGCACCAGUUAGCCCAGAUGCUUCUCAUCUUUGGAGUUGAGCUGCAGGCUGGAGACCUGGAAGGCCCUCGCAGCGCCUGCUCCCAUCCUCUCACCUCACGAAAGCGCAGGAAUGUGGGUUUGGAGCCAAUGAAAAGUACUGGAAUCUGGCUCUGCUCUGUGACCCUGGACAAGUCACUGCCCCUCUCUGGGCUUCAGUUUCCUCCUUGCUCCAUGAGGGCAGGGGAUUUUGUCUGUUUCAUUCACAAUGUGUUCCCAGAGCUCAGCACAGUGUCAGGCACACACUAGGUAACAGCACCUCGACUUCCUACUGAAGAACCCCCUCUUCCCUUUUCUCAGUCCAUGAGGCUGGGGGUGCCCAGAGGCCUCUGUCUCCAGGGGUGGACAUGUGACCGGGUCUUGCUCUAGUGAUUGGUCCAGGGAUGGGCACAUGACUGAGCCUGCCCAAUGAAACUUGAUCUUGGGACUUCAGGGUUGGCCAUGAUUUGUGAAGGAGAUGCCAUUUUCCAUUGGAUGGACAGUGAGCAAGUGAACGCUUAGAGAAGAAGAGGACAAAACAAGGGAAAAGCCUGCCUGACAGGAAGCAGCACAGAGCUGGACAGGCUUUGAACUCCUGGAUCCCACUGUACCUGAAAUUAGGCACCUUCAACUUUCUAGUUAUGUGAGCCACUGUCUUUCCCAUUUUUGGCUGAAAACAGUUGGGACUGGCUUUCUGUCCCUUGCAUACAGAAGGUGCUGACUGACCCCUGCCCCAUGGAAGAAGAUACUCCAGGCAGAGGAAAUAGUGUGUAUAGACACCCCUAAGCGAAUGCCAAGCGGGGCACUCAUGUACCAAGAAGAAGGAGGAGGAGGCACCUGGGAGCUGAGCUUAAGAGUUAGUCGGGUGGUCAAGGUGGGAGAAGGGGGUAUCUUUAGCAGAGGGAACAACCAUUGCAAAAGCUUGGAGGGGUGACUAGUUAGUGAAGAUCAACUGUGUGCUGAGCUCGUGUUGGGUGGCAAGGGACACAGACGAAAAGGGCACGGUGGAACCCAGCUACUUCUCACCUGCUCCAGCGCAGUGCAGGCUUGUCUGCUUUUGGAGCCGAGCCUGGACACCUCCGUGUCCUUCCCCCGGCAGAGUGCUGCCAGCACGCUGUCUCAGACUCUCCAGCAUCUCCUGGUUGAUGUGCAUCAUGGGGACCACACAAGAUUAUUUUAUAGGCUGCACAGGCAAAGCAUAAAAUCACCUCGGGUCACAUAGCGAGAGUUAUUCUCUCUGCAAAUUCUUUACAGUCUUUCCUUUAUAUCCAGAAGAGUCUCUGUGUGGUGCUAACUUGCCUCGAAGACCAAAUAAUUGCUAGUCUCCCUUUGUGAAAAGGAGAGCAGGUGUCAGGCUCAUUCAUGUCUCAGGCACACAAUUGUAUCUAGCUAGACUUUUCAAAAUGUCCUAUAGAGCUGCAGCACAUAUGAAUGAGGUGUCCAGCUGGUCCCAAACCUGUAAUCGGCACCCCAGUGAGCAGACUGGACAUCCCCACCCCCACAGCUGCCCUUUCUCCCCUCCACUCAUGUUCCCUCUAGGGCCACCACGAUCCCGACUUGUAUCACCACAGAUGAGUUUCACAUGUUUUUGAAUUUUACAUCUUAUCUGUUUUCUGUUCCUAUACAAGUUUGCCUUUUUUGAAUUCCAUAUAAGUGGGAUUCUACAAUGUGUUAUCUCAAUUUGAGUCUGUUUUUUUUUUCCUGCUCAGCAUGAUGUUUUUGAGAUGCAUAUAUGCGGUUUUGUGUAUCUGUAGAUGGUUCUUUUUUAUUGCAGAAUAAUGUUCCAGGGUAUGGAUGUACCAAAGCUUGUUCAUCCAUUCACCAGCUGAGGGAUAUUUGGACUGUUUCCAGUUUUCAGCCAUUAUAAAUAAAGCCACUAGAAACAUUUGC